rnacentral:lncRNA from 1 species
UAUAGGUUACAUGAAAGAUUAGGCCUUUGAGUCCUUUGGGAAGAACGAUAUUGGGUUUACCAAUUAUAUUACUUGAUAACGAUCUGGUACACUUGUCAGGGGCUUAACACCUUCAUGUCAGACGAUGUAAAAAAAAGAAAAAACCUUACACGUAAAACGUAUAAAAAAACGUAAACCCUAAGCCCUACUAGCUAAACGGUGUAACAAAAAACAACUUUAAAUGCUACAUGCAAAAUGGUGUAAAAAAAACUAAACCCAUAAAUCCUAAAUACUAAACGCAAAACGGUGUAAAAAAAAGAAAAAACCAUAAACACAAAACGGUAUAAAAAACCUAAACCCUAAGCUCUACACGUAAAACGGUGUAAAAAAAACUAAACCCUAAACCCUACAUGCAAAACAGUGUAAAAAAAACCUUACACGUAAAAAUGUGAAAAAAAAAAAAACCUAAACCCAAAACAGUAAAACCUACACACAAAACGGUGUAAAAAAAGAAAAACCUUUACAUGCAAAACAGUGUAAAACAAAGAAAAACCUUAAACCCUUUAAACAAAACUAUGUAAAAAAAACUAAAGCCAAAACCCCAAAACCUACACGCAAAACAGUGUAAAAAAACUAAACCUUAAACCCUAUAAACUAAACAGUGUAAAAAAAACUUUACACAUAAAACGGUGUAAAAAAACUAAACCAAAAAGCCUAAACCCUACAUGAUAAAUGGUGUAAAAAAAGAAAAAACCUUCCAUGCAAAACGGUGUAAAAAAAAACUAAACCCUAAGACCUUCACAUGAAACGAUGUAAAAAAAACCUUACACAUAAAACGAUGUACAAAAAAACCUAAACCCUAAACCCUACACGCAAAAACGGUAUAAAAAAACGUUAACCC